rnacentral:rRNA from 1 species
UACGUAGGUGGCGAGCGUUGUCCGGAUUUACUGGGCGUAAAGAGCGCGCAGGCGGCUGGUCAAGUCCGAUGUGAAAGCUCCCGGCUUAACUGGGAAAUUGCAUCGGAAACUGAUCGGCUGGAAGGUGGGAGAGGGUAGCGGAAUUCCCGGUGUAGUGGUGAAAUGCGUAGAUAUCUGGAGGAACACCGGUGGCGAAGGCGACAUCCUGGACCGGUAUUGACGCUGAGGCGCGAAAGCCAGGGGAGCAAACGGG